CCAUUUAUUCAAGUACUUGACCUUUUAGUUUCUGACCAAGCUGCUGAAAGCUCACACAGGUCUCCGUUCAUUUCAUUUAUAAUUGCAAACUACAAAUUACCAGAGAGAGAGAGAGAGGUCAGUGUCAAUAGCUGUAAAGACCAAACCCACCAUUGAAUACUUCAUCUAUAGCACGGUACAAGAAGAGGAAGAGAGAUGAUCUAGCCCGAGAGGUGGUUUCCAACAAAGUCCAGAUGCUAUUCAUCGUUCUGAUUCUUGGAUCUCACUUGUCCGGUUUGUUGGUUUGAGAGGUUGAAGCUGCCAGCAUGAUCUGGUAAGAACCAAUCAGUCUAGACAAUAGCGUGAAUCUUGCACCAACAAACUCAGAUAUGUAGCCACUUAGGUGCGGAGAAUAUAAUUGGCGGAACCCAUAUGGUUUAUAUGUCCUCGAAAAAAAUAUAUGAACUAUAUAUAUAUAUAUAUAUAUAUAUAUCACCUGGCCUGCUUCAUCUAGAUCAAUUUUGCUUGAUUUUAUUCUAUGAAUAUGUGAGUAAUAUUAAUAUUGAUUCUAUAGCUAAACAGAUAAGUUUUUAAAGGGGUUUUCGAGGAAGCCACGGAUUAUUAGCUAGAAUCAACGAGAAAUUAAAUCUCGUUCCACUUCAGCUUCCUAGAUAAUAUAUAUGGUUCCAUCAGGUCAUCCUGCAGCUUCAAUCACUCACUUCCGACAAAGGAAGAAACUUUCGCAUCUUUUUAAGGAUGUAUAUAGUACUGGUUCAUACUCUACAAAUGCAUUCCAGCAGGAAUACGUACAAAAUAACAAUCAACAACACCUAAGACGAUACAAAACCCAAAAACAACCCAAAGAGAUCAGCAUGCACCAACACCCAGCUAUUAGCAGCAGAUUCCAGCAAGUGGCAGCAGAUGAUCAUAGUCAGAUGGUGAAUAUAUAUCGUGUGCGAAUUACAAUUAACACUGGCAGUACUACAGUUCCAUGCAGUUCCAGCAAUCCGGCUAAAGCAACACGUACAUGAAUAAUAUGACAGCAGUAGUUCCAACACGAGCAAGCAUGCAUGCAGCAGUUACCUUAGUAAAAACAGUACUACUGAACCGGCCAGCAGUACUACUUCAACAGCAAGCAUGGAUAGCAUCAGCACCAAUAAAGCCACUUCACCUGAAAAGAUCGAACAUGUAGACGUACAACCAAGCAAGAGACAGCUAGCUAGCUAGCUAGCUAGACCAGUAGAUCUUAAUCCCCCACUUCCAGCUCCUUGCAGCAAGACCAAUAUUAUGCGGAGAUGGUCGAAACCUUGAUAAAGAGAUCAACUUGGUUUUAAUACAGAAGUACUUGAUCAUCUCUCAUGCAGUACAUUCUCCAAGUUGCUAAUUAAUAAUUUUGAUUCCAUAAGAGUCUGUUGUUCCUUAAUUUCCUUCCAAAUGGUAUAUAUAGACCGAAUUGUGGCUAUAUAUAUUUCAUGUGUAUUAUGUAUAUACAAAUAAAUAAAUACAUAUAUCAUAUAUAAUAUGCAUA